UCGGGAAUAUUGCGCAAUGGAGGAAACUCUGACGCAGUGACGCCGCGUAUAGGAAGAAGGUUUUCGGAUUGUAAACUAUUGUCGUUAGGGAAGAAAAAGACAGUACCUAAGGAGGAAGCUCCGGCUAACUACGUGCCAGCAGCCGCGGUAAUACGUAGGGAGCGAGCGUUAUCCGGAUUUAUUGGGUGUAAAGGGUGCGUAGACGGGUUAGCAAGUUAGUUGUGAAAUCCCUCGGCUUAACUGAGGAACUGCAACUAAAACUGCCAAUCUUGAGUGCAGGAGAGGUAAGUGGAAUUCCUAGUGUAGCGGUGAAAUGCGUAGAUAUUAGGAGGAACACCAGUGGCGAAGGCGACUUACUGGACUGUAACUGACGUUGAGGCACGAAAGUGUGGGGAGCAAACAGGAUUAGAUACCC
rnacentral:rRNA from 1 species